rnacentral:lncRNA from 1 species
AUGCUGGUGACUUGUACUUUUCUCUCCUGGCCGGUGCCCGCUGAUUUGUGCCGCAGGGAGAGAGAGGAGAGAAAGGUGAUGAAGGCACCCCGGGUGAAGCGGGUCUGCCUGGCAAACCUGGAGACAGGGGUCCCCGGGGCCUUCCUGGCUACCGUGGCCCCCCUGGGGAGAAAGGUGACUUGGGGGACCCAGGACCUGAGGGCAGGAAUGGCAGCCCUGGAGCACCAGGGAGCAAGGGUGACCGUGGGGACCCAGGGCCUCCUGGACCCCCAGGACGAGCUGUAA